rnacentral:tRNA from 1 species
GUGGGAGUGGCGGAAUUCGGAAGACGCACUAGACUUAGAAUCUAGCACUUAUUUAAAGUAUACGAGUUCAAAUCUCGUCUCCCACA